AUGGCAAACUUGAAAAAAUUAAUAAAAUUUAAAUGAAGUCGCGAAUAUCCUCUCUCCAAAAUAUUUUCAAACAGUGUUUCGCUUUGCCCCGCUUUUCAAUUAUAGCUAAUUCUUCUUAUUUUUCGGUUUGUGGUAAAUGAAAUUUAAAUUUUUGCAGCAGUUUUAAAAAGUUUAAAUUCUUAAAUAAAAAUAUGUAAAAUAUUUGUUGAAAUUAUUGGAAUGUUAUUAGUCAGAACUUGGGCGGAAUUCGCUUGCAAUAUGUUAAAUCAAGUCAUGCAAAAUUUUGACGUCAACUGGAAAACGCCGUCGGCCAAUUUUCCAGCGAGGCAAAGAGCAGACAUGUGAAUCAUCUAUCGCCAGCAACUUAAUGUAAUCGAUACAUUUUGCAUCUUUUAAUGGAUCGAUAAGAGUAGAUCUUUUGAUGACUGGCUGCACUAAAAAUAGUGUCAAUUUUAUGGCAGUUAAUCGGUCGGUACGGUGAUUUUUUUU